rnacentral:tRNA from 1 species
CAAGGCGUAGCUAUAAUACUAAAGCAUUCAGCUUACACCUGAAAGAUAUCUGUCACCAUCCAGAUCGCUUUGA